rnacentral:rRNA from 1 species
UGCGGCGUGGUUAAGACAUGCAAGUCGAACGAGAGAAUUGCUAGCUUGCUAAUAAUUCUCUAGUGGCGCACGGGUGAGUAACACGUGAGUAACCUGCCCCCGAGAGCGGGAUAGCCCUGGGAAACUGGGAUUAAUACCGCAUAGUAUCGAAAGAUUAAAGCAGCAAUGCGCUUGGGGAUGGGCUCGCGGCCUAUUAGUUAGUUGGUGAGGUAACGGCUCACCAAGGCGAUGACGGGUAGCCGGUCUGAGAGGAUGUCCGGCCACACUGGAACUGAGACACGGUCCAGACACCUACGGGUGGCAGCAGUCGAGAAUCAUUCACAAUGGGGGAAACCCUGAUGGUGCGACGCCGCGUGGGGGAAUGAAGGUCUUCGGAUUGUAAACCCCUGUCAUGUGGGAGCAAAUUAAAAAGAUAGUACCACAAGAGGAAGAGACGGCUAACUCUGUGCCAGCAGCCGCGGUAAUACAGAGGUCUCAAGCGUUGUUCGGAAUCACUGGGCGUAAAGCGUGCGUAGGCUGUUUCGUAAGUCGUGUGUGAAAGGCGCGGGCUCAACCCGCGGACGGCACAUGAUACUGCGAGACUAGAGUAAUGGAGGGGGAACCGGAAUUCACGGUGUAGCA